rnacentral:rRNA from 1 species
ACGGGGGGUGCAAGCGUUACUCGGAAUUACUGGGCGUAAAGGGAGCGUAGGUGGCUGGAUAAGUCUCUUGGGAAAUCUACCGGCUCAACCGGAGAACGGCAGAGGGAUACUGGCAGGCUAGGGACCGGAAGAGGUGAGAGGUAAGCCAGGGGUAGGAGUGAAAUCCUGUAAUCCGUGGGGGACCACCUGUGGCGAAGGCGUCUCACCAGGACGGCUCCGACAGUGAGGAACGAAAGCUGGGGGAGCAAACCG